rnacentral:rRNA from 1 species
GCAGUCAAGAAUAUUAGUCAAUGCUCGCAAGAGUGAACUAGCUAACUGAAAUUAUAGGAUCCACUACGUGUGGUGAAUUUAAUAACGUAAGGGAAAAAAAUGAUAUUACCUUACUAUUAGUGUUGUCCAAAACUGGUGCCAGAAGACUCGGUAAGGCCAGAGACGCAAACGUUAGUCGUCCUAAUCAGGCGUAAAGGGUAUGUAGGCUGCUUUAAAAGUUUUUAUAUUUUGUAGCUAAUGUAUAAAAAAAUUUAUAUUUAAAAAAAUUUAUAUUUAAAAAUAUUUUUAUACAAAAAAUAUAAGAUGAAUUAAAGCUAGAAUCAAAUGGAGGAUAAGUCAAAUAAUACCUAGUGUAGGGUUUAAAUCUGUUGAUGUUAGGUAGAGUACUAACGGUGAAAGCUUUUUAUCUAAAAAUGAUUGACGCUGAGAAACGAAGGUGAGAAUAGGAAAUAGGAUUAGAUACCCAGAUACCUCUCACAGUCAACGAUGAAUGGUGGUUGUUAGUUAGUUUUAUUUAACUGAUAACGAUGUUAACACGAUAACCAUUCCGCCUUGCGAGUACGGUUGCAAAACUGAAACCAAAAAAAUUAGUCGGUCUCGAAGCAAACGAAGUGAAGCAUGUUAUUUAAUUCGAUAAUCCG